rnacentral:rRNA from 1 species
UACGAAGGGGGCUAGCGUUGUUCGGAAUCACUGGGCGUAAAGGGCGCGUAGGCGGCUUUGUAAGUCGGGGGUGAAAGCCUGUGGCUCAACCACAGAAUUGCCUUCGAUACUGCAUGGCUUGAGACCGGAAGAGGUAAGUGGAACUGCGAGUGUAGAGGUGAAAUUCGUAGAUAUUCGCAAGAACACCAGCGGCGAAGGCGGCAUCCUGGACUGGUCCUGACACUCAGGAGCGAAAGCGUGGGGAGCGAUCCGG